GGGGAUAUGUGAAAUGUCUGUGUCUUAUGGGUAAAAGGUGCCUUUAUGUAUUUUAAAGUGUUUUGUGUCUUUUUGCAACCAUGUGCUUAAUGGAGUCUUGUGUCUGUCCUGGGAGAUAAUUGAAUUACUCUCAAUUAUCUCCAGGAUAGAAGACUCUGAAACUGGUUUGGGCCGGGAAGCCAUGCUUCAUUUAGUCACAAAGGACUUUCCCUUAACUUUUGAACCCCUGGUCUGAUUCGUGCCAUUUUUUAAUAUGUUGUUCCCCUGAAUGGAUUGAUUAUGAAAAUGUAUGUUUUAUGUUUGUGACAUGUAUAUUUUAGAAGUUAUAAAUGUUGUGUAAAAACUGUAUUCCUCUGCCGGUGAUAAUGAG